GUGCUUCCUGGUAAACAUUUGGACACACAGGGAGGAAGGAGCUGACUCCAAGCUGUUCUCUGAAAGGCAGCACACAGGGCCUAACCUCAGUCUGCCUUCAUGGCUGACCCCAGAACCACCCGGUGCCAGGGACGGAAGACUCCAAUCAGGCUCGAUAAACCCAACAGUAGCAGCUGCCUGGGAAUGGCAACACCAGGCAAAGCAGACAAGUCCUACUCAACAACUGCACAGAACUAAUGUUCAAAAAUACAGCUGACUUCGCCCAAAGCUGCAAAUAACCCAAAGAUGAAUGGAGAUUAGAAUGGUGGUAUAUCCAUUCAGUGGAAUAGUACUCAGCAGUUAAAAGGAAUUGUAGCCACAGUAAAGACGGUGUGGAUGGAUCUAACAUCAAGUUGAUGAAAAACGGGCCCUAUCAAGAGGACACAUUGAACUGCACCAUUCAACUUCGUCGGGGUCCAGAGACAAGUUGAACCUACGCGAAUUAGAAACAAAGAUCAGGAUAAAGGUUGCCUUGGAGAUGGGUGGGUGAGGUUACUGACUGGGAAGGAAGGUGAGGUAACCAUUGAGGGAUCUGGGAAUCUUUACAUAGGUAGCAAUUACCUGAGGUGUACCCACAACUAAAAGCAUGGUGAGCUUACACUUAAUUAGUCUACAUUAUACAUGUGUGUAAUACAUAUGACAUUUGAGAUA